UACGGGGGGGGGCAAGCGUUGUUCGGAAUUACUGGGCGUAAAGGGUUUGUAGGUGGCUUGCUAAGUCAGACGUGAAAUCCCUCAGCUUAACCGGGGAACUGCGUCGGAUACUGGAUGGCUUGAAUUCGGGAGAGGGAUGCAGAAUUCCAGGUGUAGCGGUGAAAUGCGUAGAUAUCUGGAGGAAUACCGGUGGCGAAGGCGGCAUCCUGGACCGACAUUGACGCUGAACGGCGAAAGCUAGGGGAGCAAACGGG
rnacentral:rRNA from 1 species